rnacentral:rRNA from 1 species
UACGUAGGGUGCGAGCGUUGUCCGGAAUUACUGGGCGUAAAGAGCUCGUAGGUGGUUUGUCGCGUUGUUCGUGAAAACCUGAGGCUUAACCUUGGGCGUGCGGGCGAUACGGGCAGACUGGAGUACUGCAGGGGAGACUGGAAUUCCCGGUGUAGCGGUGAAAUGCGCAGAUAUCGGGAGGAACACCGGUGGCGAAGGCGGUUCUCUGGGCCUUACCUGACGCUGAGGAGCGAAAGCGUGGGGAGCGAACAGG